GGGGACUUUUAGAGCUGAUGAUGCAGCUGACCUACUGGAGAGAGGCAGUGGGAGGGCCCUGGAGGGUAUAAAUAAAUAGGAGCCCCUGGUGCUUCGAAGUCAUAGCUCAGACUCGGGAAGAGCGCACCCACCCAGGCAGCAUGAGGCUCAGCGCGGCCGCUCUGCUUCUCAUGGUGCUAAUCAGCAGCCUCUCUCCAGGCCACGGUGUUCUGGAGGCCUACAACACAAACCUGAAGUGUAGAUGUAUUCGAGGAACCUCGAGCAUCAACAUAUCCCACAUCCAGAGACUUCAAAUUAGAGCCCCUGGGCAUGGUUGCCCAAACACAGAAAUCAUGUAAGUUGCAAGAAAAAAUAAAUAUGAUUCCUUUCAUCCAGUGAAA
rnacentral:lncRNA from 1 species